UCCCUGGUGGCUCAGACAGUAAAAGCGUCUGCCUUCAAUGCAGGAGACCCAGGUUCAAUCUCUGGGUCAGGAAG
rfam:Ovis aries breed Texel chromosome 4, whole genome shotgun sequence.